UGUACAGCAGUUAGUAGGUGUCGAGUGUAUCUCGUCUUUGAGAAAGUAACUAUAAUGUAUGUGUUGAAUUUGAACUAAACGAUAAUCAAUGUAUACAAAAACGAUUCUGAGCGAAUGAUGGUCCAUCAACCUACACUCCAUUCUCGUUUAGAAACGACCAAGGCGACAAGUUUUUGUCGAUGGCUCGCAGGUCACACAUAUAACUGUUUUCUCUACUUAAUCAACCACCAGUAAUAUCAGAACGAUACCGCGUCCAUGUAGUGAAGUCGUCGACUGCCUGAGUCAUUUUUAAAUACAUUCAUGUGACAAAUCAACACUAUAAGGUAUUAUCAUACCUACUUCAAAUGUUUGGAAACAAACCGAGAAACUAAAUUAAUUUAAUGACGGGUUUUGACUUCAAGAGUUCUUAUAUAAUAUAUUUAUAUUAUGCGCAAUAUUAGUAAUAUACAUUUUCAUGAUUUUUUUUUGUUUGAAAAUUUUAAAAAGAAGUUGAAAAUGAUGAAAAUUUUAUAAUUUCUCAUAUUAAUUUCUUAUUAUAUAAAUCCUUUGAUAUUAUACAUUUAUAGUAUUUUCAACCUUCAUAAUUAUAUUUAAAACUAUGUACUUCUAUUAUACCAUUUACUCAUUUUAAUAUUAUUUUAUUGAACAUAAUAAUAUAUUAAUAUAUUAUAUAGCAAUUCCAAAAUACAAAUAACUAUAUAUUUAUAUAAAUCAGUACCUAUGUAAUAUUUAUCUCGACAAUAAAUGUGUAUAUUUAUCUAUUAUUAAAAA